GCACAAGUUACAAGAUGUGGGUUACCCUCUAAAGUUCGUGUUUAACAGCCAAAUGACCAAAGGGUAGGCAAAUGCCUUGCUAUCGUCACGUGGCUGACGUGUCAAUAAAGGGUUAAAUGAUGCUAAACAUUUUCGUCACGACAAAUAGUUGUUCCUGUAAGUCAUUAUGUGAACAUUGCUGUUUAUAAUUGGUAUCAAGGAUUCUUCUAC